rnacentral:rRNA from 1 species
UACGUAGGGCUCAAGCGUUGUUCGGAUUCAUUGGGCGUAAAGGGUGCGUAGGCGGCUCGGUAAGUCGGGUGUGAAAUCUCGGAGCUUAACUCCGAAACUGCAUUCGAUACUGCCGUGCUUGAGGACUGGAGAGGAGACUGGAAUUUACGGUGUAGCGGUGAAAUGCGUAGAUAUCGGAAGGAAGACCAGUGGCGAAGGCGGGUCUCUGGACAGUUCCUGACGCUGAGGCACGAAGGUCAGGGGAGCAAACGGG